rnacentral:piRNA from 1 species
UAGAAAAGAGGCUGACAGAAAAUGUUCGG